rnacentral:tRNA from 1 species
CUCGCCGUAGUUCAAUGGAUAGAACGAGUGCCUCCUAAGCGCUAGAUACAGGUUCGAUUCCUGUCGGCGGGGCCC